rnacentral:rRNA from 1 species
AGAGUUUGAUCCUGGCUCAGGACGAACGCUGGCGGCGCGCCUAACACAUGCAAGUCGAACGAGCGAGAGAGAGCUUGCUUUCUCGAGCGAGUGGCGAACGGGUGAGUAACGCGUGAGGAACCUGCCUCAAAGAGGGGGACAACAGUUGGAAACGACUGCUAAUACCGCAUAAGCCCACAGGUCGGCAUCGACCAGAGGGAAAAGGAGCAAUCCGCUUUGAGAUGGCCUCGCGUCCGAUUAGCUAGUUGGUGAGGUAACGGCCCACCAAGGCGACGAUCGGUAGCCGGACUGAGAGGUUGAACGGCCACAUUGGGACUGAGACACGGCCCAGACUCCUACGGGAGGCAGCAGUGGGGGAUAUUGCACAAUGGGGGAAACCCUGAUGCAGCGACGCCGCGUGGAGGAAGAAGGUUUUCGGAUUGUAAACUCCUGUCGUUAGGGACGAUAAUGACGGUACCUAACAAGAAAGCACCGGCUAACUACGUGCCAGCAGCCGCGGUAAAACGUAGGGUGCAAGCGUUGUCCGGAAUUACUGGGUGUAAAGGGAGCGCAGGCGGGAAGACAAGUUGGAAGUGAAAUCUAUGGGCUCAACCCAUAAACUGCUUUCAAAACUGUUUUUCUUGAGUAGUGCAGAGGUAGGCGGAAUUCCCGGUGUAGCGGUGGAAUGCGUAGAUAUCGGGAGGAACACCAGUGGCGAAGGCGGCCUACUGGGCACCAACUGACGCUGAGGCUCGAAAGUGUGGGUAGCAAACAGGAUUAGAUACCCUGGUAGUCCACACUGUAAACG